CUUUUUUAAGCUUGAUCUAAAAGUAUACUUAUCUUUGUACUAUUGUGUUUAAUAGAGAAAUUUAGCUUCUUGAAGAUAAACAGAUGAAAAUUUAAACACUUCAAGAGGAGCAACUUUCAGAAUGAAGAAAGCUCUUUGUGGUCUCUAAGACCGGGAUUUUGCCUGAGAUGAUUUGAUGCAGUCAUGCCAAAGCCUUUACUGUAAAGGUGUAAGAAGGGACUAAUUGAGUUUUGGGGAGUGAAUAGACUGCCAAAAUGUCCUACAAGAGAAGUACAGAACCAGCUGUGGGAGAAGGAGAGCUGCAGAGAGCUCUGCCACCAGUCAGCAGAGACAUCACAAAGAAUCAGCAGUCACAGAAGGGGCACAACAUCGUCAAACUGGAGCAACAGGAAUGUCACUGCUGGCAAGAUAAGCAGCACAGGAACGUGUUUGCCAGGGAGAUCAUCAUGCUGUCAGAAGGCAUUAAAAGAGUCUAA
rnacentral:lncRNA from 1 species